UCAAAAUUACCAAAUGUUUGACAUCCAAUAGCAGUUAAUUAAUAAAUGUGCUCUAGUGGUGUUGUUAAACAAAACAAACUUUUAAAUAAUACAACGGAUAUUUCAGUGAAUAUUUUAUUAUAGAAUGUCAUAUCAUACAUUAAUCAUGCAAAUUAUGUAUUGCCAACAACUAACUGAAAGAAGAUAUUGUUCAAAUUGGAGGGGGGAAAUGGAAUAAAAUGCAUUUGAAGCAAAAAAAUAAAUAAAAUAAAUAAAAAAACUAAGAACUUUGUGAUUUUGGCAAAAACAGCAUUUUCUCAGUAUUAUUUAAUUGUGGCAUGUAGAAGAACGAUAAUAAGACAAAAAACUGGGGCUUUUUUUUUUUUUAGGUUGACGAGUGCAUACAAUGCUCGUGCAACAUAUUUUCACAUGCAGUACUGUGUGCUAUAAACACCAAGUUGUGUUUGUUUUUUUCGUCAAACAGAUUUUAUUCCUUUUCUUUUUUUUUUCUAUUUGAACUAUAUCCUCUUUCAAUUAGUUUUUAAUUUUAUUUUACAAUACAUCAUUUGUCUGCAUUCUGUAUGUGUAUGAUGACCUGUCUAUACGAAACCAUUCAGUUAAAUAUUCAUUGCGUUUCUUAUGCCUCGGUAUAUUUUUAUGUUCUCAUUUAGUACUGCUUUUACAAUCAAACAUUCCACAAUAGGUGAGAACCUUUUCUUGUGUUACACAAUAUUGGAGCUUUAUUUGUAUGAUAAAUUCAUCAGUGCCAUUACGAGACAAGCCACCAGUGUGCUAGUGUUCUCCCGAUACUAAACUUUCUUACUAGGUGGACUGUCCUCUACCAAGAAACAGGCAGUACCAUUACUGAAGAAAAAACAAAGAAAAUUGUCUGAAACAAAUGCAGGGCCAAAUUUUACGAGUCUGAUUGAAGUAAACUUUACACACUCGGCAUCAUAUACUGCAGGGAGGUAGGGCCGUCGUAAUACUACAAACAUACAUUACAACAGUGUUCGUGGCAGCAUGAGAUCCUGCAGGGAGGUAGGGCCGUUGUAAUACUACAAACAUACAUUACAACAGUGUUAGUGGCAGCAUGAGAUCCUGCAGGGAGGUAUGGCUUUCAUAAUACUACAAACAUACAUUACAGCAGUGUUGGUGGCAGCAUGAGAUCCUGCAGGGAGGUAUGGCUUUCAUAAUACUACAAACAUACAUUACAGCAGUGUUAGUGGUAGCAUGAGAUCCUGCAGGGAGGUAGGGCCGUCGUGAUACUACAAACAUACAUUACAACAGUGUUAGUGGCAGCAUGAGAUCCUGCAGGGAGGUAGGGCCGUCGUGAUACUACAAACAUACAUUACAGCAGUGUUAGUGGCAGCAUGAGAUCCUGCAGGGAGGUAGAGCCGUCGUGAUACUACAAACAUACAUUACAACUGUUAGUGGCCAUUCAUUGUUUGUGUCUAGUUUUGUUCCUUUACCCUCUUCAUGUUAUAAUGUUGGAAGAUAUUAAGUACUGUGAUAUAUUCUUUGUGAUCUGCCGACAUUUUGUUAUUUUAAGAGGAUUAAAAGGAUUGAAAACUGCUGAUCUCGCCACAACAGUAUUUGGUAAGAAAAGUUUCUGUUGUACGAAUUGUGGUCAUCUAUAAAUCUAGUUUUAAUUCUGCAGUGUUCUUGAGUUUUCACUUUUCAAAGGUAAAAGUUGCAAAAACUUAACAGUCACAAGUCUUGAUGGCAGACUCGCGACUAUUAUGCAUCUACCCUAGUACUUUUAUGAAUUAAAAAAUAUCUGCAAUAACCAUUUGGCUUGUAAUUAAUGUAACAAACAUUUUCUGAGCUGAGCGAAUAGAAAAAUGUGGGCUUGUAUCAAUUAUUUUUAAAUGUAUGGCAUUUUGUAAUAGCUUAUUUUAUAUUGUUAUAGAACUAAAUUGAGUGAUUUUUGUCAGAUAGCUUUGAUAGCAGAACAGGGGUGUCAGAUAUACAAGAUUAAUUAGCCAAAUUAUAUAAUGAACACAGUGUUACACACUGACAUAGAUUAUGGUUAUUACAAUUAUUUGUGCUUUUUGUUUGGUCAACAUCAUUGUUGUUGCUCAUUUGAUGAUUCAGAUGGUACUCUUUGUUCAUUCCAACGUGCACACUGGUUGGCUAAUUCCAGUUUACAACCUCUAUUGCCCAAAGAUCCCAAGCAUUUAACAUCAUCUCAAUUAUCACAUUGGUCAUAUUCACCAGCAACACAGUAAACAUGUCGAGCCAAAUUUACGAAGCUUGUUUUUCUUAAACGCAGGUGUUUAAGCAUAGUAAAUGGACAUAGUUAAACGCGUGCAAGUCUAAAACAGGCUUUGUAAAUUCGGCUCUUUGGUGGUUCUCUUUAUUUUGGUUAUGAUUAGCCUCAACAUUUCUUUAUUACUGCUUGUGCACUUUAAUGAACAUACUGUAACCACACAAUAACAAACAGACCCAUUGCUUUAAUCUGUGCAGCUGAUCUUUCCAACCUAUAGCCGUAAUAUGUUGUAACCAAUUAUUAGUAUUUUUACGCAGUCAGUUGCCCAGUUUAAACUUUUAUCAGUUUUCUUUGCACAACCUCUGUACAAUAGUUUUCAUAAUGGUGAAAACAAAAGAUAAAUGGUAAAGACAGAUUGAAAUUUUGUAAAAGAAAUGACAGUAUCUGUUUACUUUUUAUUAACUGAAAAUUUAGCUCAAUUUUUUCAUUAGCACCUAGGCAUAUCCCGGUGCUUUGUCCCUUUUUGUGAAAAUAUCCUCGUCUCAGUGUGAACACCAAUGAUAAAACCAUGUUUUUUUUUGAAAAUAUCCUCGUCUCAGUGUGAACACCAAUGAUAAAACCAUGUUUUUUUGUGAAAAUAGUGAGAUGAGGCGGACUACCCAUAUAUAAUACCAUUUUAAUCUUGCGACUGAUGACAUUCUAAAACAUGGUGAAAUAUUUCUCAAAAAUGUGUGAUUUUCUUUCCUUUCUUUCUGAUUGAUAGAGGAGUUGAUAAUAGUUUGCCAAUUCUAAUUUAUUGCCAACUGUGAUGAAUUGCUGCUAGUCCCACCUCUGUGCAUCACAGAAUGGUGGUAUCCACUUUCAAGAGAAGCCAUAUGCAAGUAUCUUAAUGAUUUUGCCUACAGCAAAAAUUGUUAAAUUUUGUUAUUAAUAAAACAUUUUAUUAAGUGGUUUUUUGUUUGUGAAACAUUUCUAUGCAUAUUUUAUUUAUUAUAAUUUUACAAACAGAAUGUGUCCAUCCAUAUUUUAUCCAUUUCCAUUUCUCAUAUCAUCAAAUAAAAAACAUUUAUGUAAUAUUUAAUCUUGUUUUCAGAACUCAAUAAACGUGACAGACUGCA